rnacentral:lncRNA from 10 species
UUUCAACCAAUCUUUGACCCAAAAGCAUGUUACCUGUACAGAAUGCAAAUUCCAUUUCAUCCAAGUUGAGAGAAAGGAAACUUCACCACGUCUUUCAGCCUAGAGAGCCCAGGCCUAUAGGAUUUCUACUUCAUCAAAAUGACUGAGAGGCCUGUGGGUUAAUGGCAAAGUUGGCCACAGCCUUCCUUUCUUCCCAAGUCCUCUGCCCCCAGCUCCCACCUGUGUGGGCCGCAGGAGGUGCUAGUGCUGGAGGGUGGGCUCUGGAAACAGAAUUCACAUGGAACACAGUGACAAAGCCAGGUCUGCACUUCUGUUUGAAGCUCCUCAACAGUGGAAGUUGGGAGGGAGGGAUUUCUAGCCAGAAGAAAUAACAUGAACGAAGGUAUGGCUACACAGACCACCAAGAAGUAAGGAGAAAAACCAUCGUGGAAGUUACAGCCUUCAUCUCUAACAUGUUCCAAAGUUGCAUCUCUUUUUCGAUAGAAAUAAAACAACAGUGAUGAAAGCGUCAAAGGAAUCCUUCAAAAUGGCUUGAUGUGUUGGGAUUGAAAACCUGCCACUUGAGGUUGCAACCCAGGUGACCCUAAUUUCCUGCCAAGUUGAGUACAAGAUCUUCUUUUAGCAUUGGAAGUAUCAGUUUUUGGGACUUCCUACUAUAGGAUUUAUACCAGUGGCCCAGUUCUCAGUCCGCUGGACUUAAACGGAGAGUAACACCCUGCCCUGCUUCUCAGGCCUUCAGACUCAGACUAAAUCUUACCACUGAUUUCCUGGUUUUUCAGCUUGCAGAUGACGCGUCUAGGAUUUCUCAACCUCUAUAAUUGACUGCUGCAACCUGAAACAAGAAGUAUUUCAGGAAAAUCCAAUCCCCUCUUGGAGGACAAUGAAGAUCUUUCCACAAAAUUUAGUCAAUAAAUAUUUACUGAGUUCUCACUGUGUUCUUGGCAUAAUCAUCA